rnacentral:lncRNA from 1 species
CUCUCCCAGUCAACAGCUGCAAGGUACCAGAUUGGCACGAAGCAGAGAAAAUAACGCAAGGAGCUCGAGAGCAAGGAGGCAGGGAGUGAGGACUCUUCUGAUACAAGUGACACCAUGGAGAGGCAUCUGGAGGACAGAAGAAGGAAACACUGCUGAUGGAGUGGCGUGUGCAAGGUACGCUCAGAUCUCGACACUCAUGGCUCAGUAAAAUUAUGGAAAAAACUAAUGGGCAGCCAUAGGGCUGACAA